rnacentral:rRNA from 1 species
AACUCAAAGGAAUUGACGGGGCCCGCACAAGCGGUGGUGCAUGUGGUUUAAUUCGACGCAACGCGAGGAACCUUACCUAGGCUUGACAUGUGGUGAGUAGCGAACCGAAAGGGGAGCGACCCGUCAAAUCGGGCCAUCACACAGGUGCUGCAUGGCUGUCGUCAGCUCGUGCCGUGAGGUGUUGGGUUCAGUCCCGCAACGAGACGCAACCCUCGCCCUUUGUUAGCCAUCGGGUAAAAGCCGGGCACUCUAAGGGGACUGCCAGCGACAAGUUGGAGGAAGGAGAGGAUGACGUCAA